GACGCCCAGCGCCGGGAUUCGGAUCUCGGCCCAGCCGCGAGGUCAGCAGCCCGUUCUGCCCUGAACCGGGAGGAAUGUUCGCGGCGGCCUCGGCCCGGGUCCGAGAAGAAAGGCAGCCUUGUGGGCGAAAGAUCCCGCUGCGCGGACACCCCCUGUGCUUGUGUUUGGCGGCUCAGGAGUAUUUUCUGGACGAUCAGCUCUUAGAACUGCAGGACACCAGCUCCAUGAGGGAGGGAGACGGCUGGUCUUAUGCAAAGCAGCCCCCGGCACACAGUAGGUACUCUAUAAGUGCUCAUAGAUCGGCAGUGGACGCUCCAAAGUCCUGAUGUCUGGGCAGCGGUUGGGGACGGAAGAUCCAGAUGCUGAAAGUUGGCCCCUGGAGUGGAGGCCCAGAGGGACGAGCAGGUCCCCAAGGCCACCAGGCUGGAAUUCCUAUACCUGGCAGCCUCCCGGAGGCCCUCCCAGCAGCUGUGCCUCUGGCCCCCCGGGGCCCACCUCACCAGGUCCCACCCUGAGUUGACCAAGGGCUUCUCUCACCAGAGACGGCAGCAAAGAUGGGAGGAGACUCCAAGGGCAACUCCUGUGUCAUCCCCAACAUUUAUGGAGCACCAACUGUAUGCCCUGCCUUGGACUGGGCAGCACAGAGAUCGUACCUCAGUGACUUCCUGGGGGCCGGGGGUGGUGACUCAACCACCUCCCUGUCCUGAGGCCCUAGCUGUACAAAAUUUACAGAGCAUCUACUGGGUACCGGUGACUAAACUGAAGGUACCUACACAGUGGAUUUAGGGAGGAAGACAGUGCACUUUUCUGUUGACGCUUUUAAUUAAUUUUCUUUAACAGAAAGCAGUCCUUUUGGAAAGAAGUAAAGCAUUCCCAAGUAAGAAAAAAUACAACCCUACCACCUACCGAUGCUGGGAGGAAGUUCAGGAGGCCUCGGAGCCCAGAGGGGGCACCUGGGGAGAGGCCUCCUGGACGAAACGAGCUCUGAGCUGAGGCCCCAGGAUGCGCGGGCAGGAAGGGCCCUGUGGGAGGCAGCCGGCCGGAGGCUGGGGUGCUGAUGUCGUGCACCCAGGCCCAGCCUGUGCAGCAUGUCCCCGAGCCAGCGUUUCUGGGGGGAGCUUCCUGCAGCCCUCGUCCCUGUGAUUGUCUCUUUCUGUCUCCCCGGCGCACUCUUGUGCCGGAACUCUGCGAGGUCACAGCCACUCUGUCUCAUCCACCUGUCUGUCCCCAGGGCCCAGAGCUCACAGCAGUCACCAAAACUCCUGUCUUUCCAGGAGUCCAGAAUGUGGUUUUAUCUGGACGUCGGUCUUUGCAGAGGUCAUUAGUUUAAAGACCUUGAGAUGAGACCCUCCUGGGUCAGGGGUGGGCCCUACCUCAAUGACCGGUGUCCGUGUGAGGACAGGAGAGGACACACAGACACACGGAUGAAGGUCACGUGGGGACGAAGGCAGAGACUGGAGUGAUGUGUCGAUCAGCCAGGAAACUCUGGGAGCCCACCGGUGCCCGGACAGGCACGGGUUCUGUGUCCCGGAGCCUUGGAGGGGUUCUGGCUCUGCUGACCUUGGUUUCCCAAUUGUCCAGAACUGUGGGCGAAUACGCGUCUCGUGUUUUCAGCCACCAAAUUCGUGGCACUUUGUUCCAGCAGCCGCCAGACGCUCGUAAGUUUUGCUCCUGUGGGCGAACAGGUGAGUGAAGGAAUAAACCGAAAGCGGCUCUGGUGGCCGUCCAGGGCCACUUGGGUGUGGCGAGGCGACUGCCCUCGUCCCCUGUGACUGGGCUUGUAUUCUGGGGUGCCUGCUCGGGCUGUGGGGCUGGGGAGGCUGGAGGCUGUCCAGUGUGUGUGUGUGUGUGGGGUGGGGGUGUAGACAUUGCCUGCCCUCCCCCGUCCCCAGAAGCCCGUGUCCACACCCAGCGUGGACGCCCAGCUUCUGGGGACCUCGCCCCUCCUGAGGCCCUUCAGAUACACUGCAGCGAGUGCUUAUCCUCAAAUAUGAAUGCUCCUCGACGUGUCCCCCCAAGUGACUCUCCUCACCUUCAGUUAGAGCCCAGGGCCAGGCCGCCGGGGGGAUUUUCUCCACCUGUCCUCCCUUAGUUCUCCUGCCGGUCACUCUGAAGGUCAGGAUUCAAGCCUGAAUCCGGGCUCUAUGCUGAGCGAUGGGGGGAGGGUCGCUCCUCUCUGAGUCUCAGUUUCCCCAUUUGUAACGGGAAGAAUGUCGCCCGGCUUCGAGAAAGCCGUGGUGGAGAGUGGAUGAGAAGAAGCUGGUCCCGGGCUGGCGGAGCACCUGGCCGGUAGGUGUUUCUACGAGAGUGGGCUUGGGGUCCUGUUCCCCCGGGACAUAGCCCUGGAUCCUAAAGGGCGUUAGACCUUCCCGGCCUCAGAUCCUUUCAAAGCCUCAGUCACCGGCCUGUGGCCUGUCCAGUGGCCUCACAAAGCCACCUCCACCCCCAAGGAGCCCAAUAUCUUUGGAAGGACCAAGGCUUGGAUUUCUUGCCCAUAAAAUGCCUGAAACCAAAGCAGAGCUGAAGACACCGAGGGCUUUGACGUUGGUUUGGGGCAGGAGGGGCUGUGAAGUCCCCAGCGGCCUUGGCCUCUCUCCGGGAACCAUGUAAACAGGGGCUCUUGGCAGGAGGAUAGUGGCCAGGUACAAGGGGACAUCUGUCGUUUCAGCAAUGAUCUGGAUUCCAACAAAGACUUACUGGUACCCAGUUUUAGAGGAGACAGUUGGGGAGACUCAACUGACAACCGCCCUUUUUUCUGGUGUUAGAGGCAGGAAAGGGAGCCAGCAGCUGGGCCCUGAAACAAGAAUUGUAAUCCCUCCUCUGCCACUUACUUGCUGUGUGACGUCAGGCGACCUGCCCAACCUUUCUGUGCCUCAAUUUCCUCACCCGCCAAAUAGGAGAUAAUAAUCAUCUCUCUCUCAAAGGGUUGCGGUGAGGGUAACCUGAGUGAUUUUGUGUGAUGCACUAGCCCAGUCCCUGGGCAUGGUUGGCUCUCGGGCACCGACAUUGUUACUGUCGUUUUUCCUAACGACACAGAUGUGAGCUUCUCCUGAAUCUAGCCAGGGCCUACUAUGCUUCAAGACCUCCACAGACAUCAUCCCACCGAGUCCUCCCCCCACGACGGGGAGGGGGGGCAUUGUGCACAGCCCCAGGCCACAGCUGGUGACCAGAGAGGAAGGACUCUUGUCCGGGGGGUGCACAGCUGUGGGGGGGCCCCGGGCCGCGAUGUAAAAGCCCAGCGGUCUGGCUGCAUCGUCCGUCUGUCCUCCUGAUCACUUCUCUUCAGGGAAUCUGAGGACCCCAGUGGGGGACAGAAAAGCCGCCCACGUUCCCGCAGGCCCGGGCGUGGCUUCUCCACCUUGUACCUUCGACAUUCCGAGCUGGACCAUCCUCCGUGGUGGGGCUGCCCGGUGCAGGGUCGUUAGCUGUCCCCCAGGGCCCUACCCACCAGCUGCCAGUAGCACCCCUGAGUUGUGACAACUGAAAAUGUCUCCAGGCAAGGCCAAGUGUCCCAGGGAGGGGGCAGCCCCUGGCUGACAAGGGCUGGAGUAAGGGUGUGAAAUGUUGGAGGGUUUCCUUCUGGAUUCCCUCCCUGUCUACACAUACACAUGCACAGACACACUUAAAAAAGUAGGGGUGCCUGGGUGGCUCAGUCGGUUAAGCGUCUGACUUCAGCUCAGGUCACGAUCUCACGGUCCAUGAGUUUGA